rnacentral:lncRNA from 1 species
UCUCGCGGUCUAACGCCAAUUCGCGAAACUUGGCCGGCCGCCGGCCGCGCCGGCCGCGCCUUCGCCCAGACCCACAAAGGCGCUGGAUAGAUACAGUUGCAAUUUUUGCAGCCGGGCUGCUGCGCUUCUGACCGCGGUUCGGUCGGGCGUUGCGGCCGCCUGCUGGGGGCCACCCGACUGCUGGGGGCGACCCGAGCGAUGAGCACUCGCCUGCCGAGGACUGGCGACCUACAACGGGGCCUGUGGCUGCCCUCGGACGUGGGCCGUGGGAGGCGGCGUGGAGGAGGUGCGGCUGCCGGCGCUCGGGGGCCGCUGCGGCUCACAGAUGCGAUGCGGCUCCCCCUGGAUGGCGUCCUAUACUCCUGGGGGCCGCUCGGCUGUUGGCGGCGGCGGGCCUCUACUCGCUGACUGUCAGUAGCGAUGGGCGCCCACCUGCUGAGGACUGACGACCUUCAACGGGGCCUGUGGCUGCCCUCGGACGUGGGCCGUGGGAAGCGGCGUGGAGGAGGUGCGGCUGCCGGCGCUCGGGGGCCGCUGCGGCUGGCAGAUGCGGCUCCCCCUGGAUGGUGUCUUACUCUUGGGGGCCGCUCGGCUGUCGGCAGCGGCAUCCUGACCCCUUGGGGCUGCUCGACUGCCAGCGGCGGCGGGCCUCCGCCUGCUGGGGAGUGCGGCGGCCUAGGACACACUACCCGUGGCCUGGAUGGUAUGCGACUACCGGCCCCCUGGUGCCGCUACGAGGAACAAUGACGUUGCGCCUCUCAAACUAGGAUUGGCCUGGGCCGGGCGUGACGGCCGGUCGAGUUCGGUGUCCGGUCGGCUGCGCCCGACCGGACCAUUUGACUGUCGACGACGGGCCUACGCCGUCAGGGAUAACAUCGGGACUGGGCUAUUGCGCCUGGACGUUGAACCGCUGGCCGCGGCCAGGAUGGCGUGUGGUUGCGGGCGCUCAUGGGCCACAAUGAUGGAAUUUGUGUUGCGGCUGUCUCUGGUCCUGGACACGGGCCGAUAACGGGUGUGAUAUCUGGUGCGUUCGGCUGUCUGAGGUGGUGGGCCUCGGCCUGUUGGGGGCUGAGAUAGCCUUGUGGCGGGCCGAGCGAUGGCGCCCAGAUGUGGACCACUGACUGCGCUGGUUGUCAUAUUGAUUGAUUGAUUGGCACCGACAAGCAUUCCCUUACAAACCUUUAACACUAACUGUCCUCACUCUAACAAUACUAACUUGCGAAUCCUUUUCCAGCCAUUCCUGCUUGGCGGUGCCACCGAUCGGUGUAUACCUACACGUGUGUUUGUAUAUGCACAUUAUCAGUUAUUCGAUGAUUACCUAAUACAAUACCGGUGACUCCGGACAUGCAAAAAGA